AGGACGAACGCUGGCGGCGUGCUUAACACAUGCAAGUCGAGCGGAAAGGCCCUUCGGGGUACUCGAGCGGCGAACGGGUGAGUAACACGUGAGUAAUCUGCCCCUAGCUCUGGGAUAGCUCCGGGAAACCGGGAUUAAUACCGGAUACGACUGCUACGGACAUCUGUGGUGGUGGAAAGAACUUCGGCUAGGGAUGAGCUCGCGGCCUAUCAGCUUGUUGGUGGGUAACGCCUACAAGGCGACGACGGGUA
rnacentral:rRNA from 1 species